UACGGGGGGGGCAAGCGUUGUUCGGAAUUACUGGGCGUAAAGGGCUCGUAGGCGGCCUUCUAAGUCGAACGUGAAAUCCCCGGGCUCAACCCGGGAACUGCGUCCGAUACUGGAAGGCUUGAAUCCGGGAGAGGGAUGCGGAAUUCCAGGUGUAGCGGUGAAAUGCGUAGAUAUCUGGAGGAACACCGGUGGCGAAGGCGGCAUCCUGGACCGGCAUUGACGCUGAGGCGCGAAAGCGUGGGGAGCGAACAGG
rnacentral:rRNA from 1 species